ensembl:snRNA
GUUUUGUGUAAGAGGAGAAACGGUUAGCACUCUCGUUGAUAAGGAUGGAAGACUCGUUGUGAUUUGUACAACAAGUACAUGGUUAGGGCAUCAUCACCUCCUUCAUGGCAUCUAACCAUAAUUUUGU